rnacentral:misc_RNA from 1 species
GAUGAAGAACGUAGCGAAAUGCGAUAAUUAAUGUGAAUUGCAGAAUUCCGUGAAUCAUCGAGUCUUUGAACGCACAUUGCGCCUCAUGGCAUUCCGUGAGGCAUGCCCAUCUCAGCGUUAGAAAAUAUUCUCAAAUUUUAGUUUCGUGCUAAAAUUUGGAUCAUGUCAAGGAAGCUAUUACUAUUAUUGUGAUCGCUCUUUGGAAAUUGAUAGGUCUUUGAGUUGCUACUCAUAGAACGUGAUGAAUCUUUCUUCGUUCUAUUGUAAUUCACUCUGGUAGUCCUAAAACUUGUAUGCCUGUGGCAUAUCUUGUAAUUUGACCUGAGAUUGGGUAGGGAUACCCGCUGAACUUAAGCAUAUCAAUAAGCGGAGGA